rnacentral:rRNA from 1 species
AGACGGAAACCUUCGGGCGGAAGGCUUCAUUUCGAGUGGCGGACGGGUGAGUAACGCGUGGGUAACCUGCCUCAUACAGGGGGAUAACAGUUGGAAACGACUGUUAAUACCGCAUAAGACCACAGCACCGCAUGGUGCAGGGGUAAAAACUCCGGUGGUAUGAGAUGGACCCGCGUUCGAUUAGCCAGUUGGCGGGGUAACGGCCCACCAAAGCGACGAUCGAUAGCCGAUCUGAGAGGAUGACCGGCCACAUUGGGACUGAGACACGGCCCAAACUCCUACGGGAGGCAGCAGUGGGGAAUAUUGCACAAUGGGGGAAACCCUGAUGCAGCGACGCCGCGUGAGUGAAGAAGUACUUCGGUAUGUAAAGCUCUAUCAGCAGGGAAGAAAAUGACGGUACCUGAGUAAGAAGCCCCGGCUAACUACGUGCCAGCAGCCGCGGUAAUACGUAGGGGGCAAGCGUUAUCCGGAUUUACUGGGUGUAAAGGGAGCGCAGACGGUUGCGCAAGUCUGAAGUGAAAUCCCGAGGCUUAACCACGGGACUGCUUUGGAAACUGUGCGACUUGAGUAUCGGAGGGGCAGGCGGAAUUCCUAGUGCAGCGGUGAAAUGCGUAGAUAUUAGGAAGAACACCGGUGGCGAUAGGCGGCUUGCUGGACGAAAACUGACGUUGAGGCUCGAAGGCGUGGGGAGCAAACAGGAUUAGAUACCCUGGUAGUCCACGCGGUAAACGAUGAAUACUAGGUGUUGGUGCCCAAAGGGCAUCGGUGCC